rnacentral:rRNA from 1 species
CGGACUGGGUUGUAUGUAACACGUGUGCAACCUACCCUAUAGUUUGGGAUAACUCCGGGAAACCGGGGCUAAUACCGAAUAAUCUCUUUUGCUUCAUGGUGAAAGACUGAAAGACGGUUUCGGCUGUCGCUAUAGGAUGGGCCCGCGGCGCAUUAGCUAGUUGGUGAGGUAACGGCUCACCAAGGCGACUAUGCGUAGUCGACCUGAGAGGGUGAUCGGCCACACUGGGACUGAGACACGGCCCAGACUCCUACGGCAGGCAGCAGUAGGGAAUCUUCCACAAUGGGCGAAAGCCUGAUGGAGCAACGCCGCGUGAGUGAAGAAGGUUUUCGGAUCGUAAAACUCUGUUGUAAGGGAAGAACAAGUACAGUAGUAACUGGCUGUACCUUGACGGUACCUUAUUAAAAAGCCACGGCUAACUACGUGCCAGCGACCGCGGUAAUACGUAUGUGGCCAGCGUUGUCCGGAAUUAUUGGGCGUAAAGCGCGCGCAUGCGGUCCUUUAAGUCUGAUGUGCAAUCCCACGGCUCGACCGUGGAUGCUCAUUGUAAACUGGGCGACUUGAAUGCAAAACAGGAACGUGCAAUUCCAAGUGUACCGCUGAUAUGCGUAGACAUUUUGACGAACACCAUCGGUGAAGGCGACUUUCUGGUCUGUAACUGACGUUGAGGCGCGAUCGCGUGGUAACCUAACAGGAUUAGAUACCUCGAUAUUCCGCUCCGCAAACAAUGACUGCUAAGUGUCAAGGGUGUCUCCGCCCCUUAGUGCUGCUGCUAACGCAUUACGACUCUCCGCCAGGUGGAUCACUGUUCGCAAGGACUGAAAUCUCACAGGAAUUGACGGCGUGCCCGCACAAAGCGGGAGCAGCAUGUGGUUUAAAAUUCGCAAGCCACCUCGAAUGAACCUUACCAGGGUCUUGACCAUCCCCGUUUGACCCCCUGGAAUAGAUUUAACUUUCCCCCUUCCGGGGGCCAACGGUUAACCAGUUUGUUGCCAUGGUUUGUCCGCCAGCUCCGGGGCCGGGGAAAAAGUAAGGUUUUAAUUCCCCCGCAACCGAGCGGGUAACCCUUUGAUCUUUAGUUGCCCCUCAUUUGAUUUUGGGCCCUCCUUAAGGUGAACUU